UCAGGUAGGGAUACCCGC
rnacentral:rRNA from 1 species